rnacentral:rRNA from 1 species
UACGUAGGGUGCAAGCGUUGUCCGGAAUUAUUGGGCGUAAAGGGCUCGUAGGCGGUCCGUCGCGUCGGGAGUGAAAAGCUGGGGCUUAACCCCAGUCCUGCUUCCGAUACGGGUGGACUAGAGGUAGGUAGGGGAGAACGGAAUUCCUGGUGUAGCGGUGAAAUGCGCAGAUAUCAGGAGGAACACCUAUGGCGAAGGCAGCACUCUGGGACGGUACUGACGCUGAGACGCGAAAGCGUGGGGAGCGAACAGG